AAUUCUAGCUAGUUCAUGUGAAAACUUACGAUUUUUGCAUGACGCUUUUUCGAGGGCCCGCCUGUGAUUUCUAGAGGCAGUUUAACUUUUGGUUUGUUCGCUAUAAAUAAAGGGUGGCAUUCUAACAAGUGAUUUUGUACUAGUACGAUAUCCUCCUCUUUUCAAUGGGAGAGGUACGAUGUCGUUCUACAAAUGCCAAAAAUAGCUGCAAUGCGGUUCUUAUGGUGUUUUCUGAAGGCACUUGGUCAUUUUCUGUUUGUUGCCAAUUUGUCCUUCUCUGCCUCCUUGAUGGGCACUUUUAUUAUUGUACCCCUUUCAAUAUAAAAAUAUAUAAUAGAUGUUUGCAAUGGCGACACGGUCACCAAAACACUAUUUUAAAACAUAAAUUAAUAACAGCAAAUAUAUUCAAAAUAUACUUGCAAUAUUUUAAAACUGCGAUUAAGACAAAUCUAGUCAUGCCAUUUUUGAAAGGCCAAUCAAAAUAAUUAAAUAGUUAAUGAUGUCAAAAAAUAUAAUAUAGUGACGGCAUGAGCACAAAAAUGUCUAUUAUUUUUAUAUCGGAGGGAGGAUGAGUGUACGAUACUAGAGAUUCCUUACGUCAUUGUCUCUAAGCAGUAAGCACACGAGGACAUGUCAUACAGGUCACCGGACAACUGACUUGAGAUAUGUUGGUAGGGAAGGUGUGUGGUCAUGCAUCCAUCAUUUCAAGAUUUGUACCACAUAGUAGUACAGGGCAAUGUCCUCCCAGUUUCUAUUGAGAUAAUGUCCUCGCAGCUAAUUGAUGUCCACAUGACACCAUGCCGGAUAUAUCUUAUCUCUAUCUCCUCACAAACGGAAAAAGACCUCACAGCUCAUCAAGUACCCUUUUUCUUUGUUUGAGUCUGACUUUAAUUCGGCUCAUUUCCUAUCCUCCGGCAUCAUGUGUGCAUUGAAUUGAAGGUGAUAGCCUUUAGCUUUUGUUGCAUGAUGUAUUUUUUCUUAUUAAACUUGGCUUGAGUUACGAAACAUUUAGCCCUUACAGAACAAAGAUAAUUUGUUUUAGUAUCCUGGUAGUUAUUUUGAAAAAAAUCGUUUGUUGCAUAAAACAAUGCACUAGAUCUUCUGUGUCAGAUCUGAAGUCUACCACUGCAAUAAAAGUGAAAAAGGGCGAUUAAUCAUAAAGUAAAGUAGCAAACGAGAUGAUACCACCGAGUAAACAUUGGGCUCAGUUAGAACCUUUCUCGAUUAGCAAAGCAAUUAGUGUGUUAAAACUUCCCCCAAGUUCCUAAUCUGUGAAUGCAUAUGGGCCCGCUUAAUUCAGUUUAUUUUUCAAUAAUCAUGCCACGCUUAUUCAUGGAUUUUUUCUUGGCACGAUCUUUGACAUUCUUCCGAGAACACAUGCUUAUUCAUGAACAUUCUUUUGUUGUGAUCUCUCGAGAAUUUUAUGUAACCCUAAACCACCUAUAUGGUGAGGGGUUUCUAUUUAAACGGGAGACCUUUCAACUUUUUUGCGUAAUCAUUGUUAUUCUAAACGCUAAACGAUAAACAAUCGGUCACCCUCUGUUUAGCGAUUAGAUCUUUUACAAGUUGUUUACAUUGAGUUAAAUGUUCCAAACGGUUUGGUAUUAUAACAUCAAAAUAUACAUAUUUAUGCUUACAUAAAUGUAAAAUAUUAUAGUAUGUAUACAUAUUUAGGCAUCUAAAAGAUAAACACAUAGAUUUAGUGUUUAAACCAUUUAGCAUUUAAACUGAAACAAUGAUCCACUAGCAACGAAAACGAACUUAGGGGUCGGAACAAACAACAUCCUACCACUCCCUCCAUUUUUAAAUACCAGACCAUCAACCCGUGCUCUCGCACGGGCUAGAACCUUAUCAACUAUAAGCAUUUGAAACAUGUCAAUAAACUUAAUUAAAACCUUCUUCAAUAUCUCAGCUAGUAUUGAAGUCUAUUUGUCGUGGUAUAUGAAUCUAGAUUGUUGCUUCCAAAUCUUACCUUAUUUAGUUGCUAAAUUUCUUAUUUGCAUAUUAGUUUGAACUCUAAUGCUCAUAUUUAAUGAAUUACAGGCUCUCGACUCACUGUUAGCUACUAAAAUGAUAUAAACUAUCACUUCCAUAGGUAUCUUGAUGCUUGAGGUGUAGACUUUUGUUUAGCUACUUUUUAUAAUAUUUCAUAGCGACAUAUGUGGGUAAUUUAUAUAUAUACAAAUUUGGAGGGUUAUUUUGAGUUUGCUUUCAUAAUAGCCUGUGAAUAUAUUUUUAGAAAGCGGAACAUAUUUUAAGGGUGAUAUUGUUCAAGGCUGCUUAGAUCCAUGGCUUGAUGUUUCUAAUUAAGAGGGAAUUGAAAUUUAUUGUUUUAUAGAACAUCUUGUUAACAUUGAUACUUUUCUGUUCGCGUCCAUAUAUUAUUAAGAUAUUUAUAAUUUGUGUGGAAAUUUUAUGCUUUAUAUCAUUGAUAGAGAGUCUUGUUAACAAGGAGAUCAAGGCAUUAUUGUUUCGCAUGUCAAGAUGGAUAUACAUGUUUCAUGGAUAGAUUCUCAUGUUUACAUACAACAUAGCAUUAUAGAUGGAUUAUAUUUGAUUAACUAAGUAAGAUAUAUUAUUGUAGAAAUAUAAACAUCUGUGCAUCCACCUUUGACCAUUCAGGCAACGUGCAACAUCAAUGGUUUAACUUGUCAUAGUUAAAACGGUUGAAUGGGUAUUUUAAAUGUAAUUUAUUAUUAGAGUUUUAUUUCAAUAAUCUGGAGUAACUUUGGACCAUUGACAUAUGGGUCCUAUUAGGUAAUAGGAGAAGUAUAUAUUUAUGUCUUAUAAAAUUUAAAAUACGAUAAAUAGACUAAGUAUCCAUGGCAAAGAUGUUAAACAACUACUCUUGUAAGGUGCUAUUAUAUUGGUCUAUGUCUCAUUUCACAUGACGUAUUCCUGUUGUAAGUUAGGCAAAAAAAGUGUACCAUUAAUGGUGAUCCCAACGUGAUAUAAUGCGACAUCCUAAUGUGACUUGUCUUUCUUGAUUGCAGGUAUGAUGUAUCUAAUCUAUAUCCAUGGCAUAUACGUUGUUUAACUUGGUUACAUGAUUUUAUCCCAUUGCGCUGCAUUACGUCGGUACACGAAGAUCUGACAUUGAGGACAAACCUGAUAGACUACUGCUCACAAAAAACACAAGCUGCCAGGCACCAUAGCUGGUUGGAUGAUUAGACCAUCAGGACCUGUGAAUCGUGAUAAUAAGAUAGUCCCACCACCAACGGCAGCUAGCGUACAAACGUAAUGGCAGAGGUGUAAUUUGUGUAUAAUUGUAAGGGGUUAUUAUAUCAGCUGAUCUUAUGGUCAUUAUUUUUAUACUAACAAAUAAAUGGUUAGAUGCU